AGAAAGGCUAAAGAGCAAUUAAGCACUGCUAACGCUUAUACCCGCGGUUAAAUUCCGCGGCCUUCUC
rnacentral:tRNA from 1 species